rnacentral:rRNA from 2 species
GAGUGAUCGAAAGAUGAAAAGCACUUUGAAAAGAGAGUUAAACAGCACGUGAAAUUGUUGAAAGGGAAGCGUUUGCGACCAGACUCGCCCGCGGGGUUCAGCCGGCAUUCGUGCCGGUGUACUUCCCCGUGGGCGGGCCAGCGUCGGUUUGGGCGGCCGGUCAAAGGCCCUCGGAAUGUAUCACCCCUCGGGGUGUCUUAUAGCCGAGGGUGCAAUGCGGCCUGCCCGGACCGAGGAACGCGCUUCGGCUCGGACGCUGGCGUAAUGGUCGUAAAUGAC